ACAGUAACAAUACAUUUAAUUAUUCUAACGUACAACAAAAGUUUUCCCAUAUUCUUACAAAGGCACACCUAUCUACAAACUGAAAGGGCCACAUAAAUUUCAGAGCUGAAGCUCAUUAAUUAGCCCCUAAAACACAAGUUAGUCAAAUCAUGCAUCAAUGGCAUAUCUGACUGAUGCAUGCUUCAUUAAGAUUAUUAAGGGACAACACCGAACAUGAAUAAUAAAAAAUAAUAAUAAAAACUAAAUAUUACCACCAACAAAAACUUCCUUAGUUUAAAGCAAACUAUCGGUCUCAGGUGCCUCUGAAGAACUAAAGAACAAGAUCAGGCACAUAUCUGCCCAUUGGCUGUACCUACUUCAGGAUGGUAAUGGAGGAUCUCCUUCCACAUCAUCUCCCGUAUCAUCUCCUCCCCUAAAUCC
rnacentral:misc_RNA from 1 species